GUGAACGCUGGCGGUAGGCCUAACACAUGCCAGUCGCACGGCAGCACAGUAAGAGCUUGCCCUUACGGGUGGCGAGUGGCGGACGGGUGAGGAAUACAUCGGAAUCUACUUUUUCGUGGGGGAUAACGUAGGGAAACUUACGCUAAUACCGCAUACGACCUACGGGUGAAAGCAGGGGAUCUUCGGACCUUGCGCGAUUGAAUGAGCCGAUGUCGGAUUAGCUAGUUGGCGGGGUAAAGGCCCACCAAGGCGACGAUCCGUAGCUGGUCUGAGAGGAUGAUCAGCCACACUGGAACUGAGACACGGUCCAGACUCCUACGGGAGGCAGCAGUGGGGAAUAUUGGACAAAGGGCGCAAGCCUGAUCCAGCCAUACCGCGUGGGUGAAGAAGGCCUUCGGGUUGUAAAGCCCUUUUGUUGGGAAAGAAAAGCAGCAGGUUAAUACCCCGCUGUUCUGACGGUACCCAAAGAAUAAGCACCGGCUAACUUCGUG
rnacentral:rRNA from 1 species